CCCCUCUACUUCCUGUUCAGUGGUGGUGGGUUGCUGGGGGAAAACAUCUGCAGCAGUAGGAGAUUCAGAGUCUGUAACAGGAGGGAUGGUAUCUGAGCCUUGUACUUUAGAAGGCUGCAGUAAUCCCCAGCUCAUUACAGCUGGGCUGGUGCAGUGGGAAAUUGGGACAGAUGUUGGACAGAUGGUGACCCUCUGCUGUUGGGAUCACUGCUGCUGGUUGGUAUAAAGAUGUGGUUUUUUGGUUUUUAUUUUUUUAAUAUUAGAGUAGGCCAUGAUGCUUCUUUACCAGGAUGGAGAAGCAUCUCUUCUGCUCUUCUUUGUUAACAAAUAUUGGGAUUUGAUCAUCCUAGCAGUCUGGUCAUCAGUCCCAUAAACCAGUACUAAUACCAGCACUGGUACUGUGCCCCACAGAGGGGUUUGGGUUGGCCCUGGGGUCUGUGACCACUGGCUGGGUUUUGCUGAUGGGUGGCAAAGCCCCUACCUGGCAGCAAGGGGCUGUAUGAGGAUGCUACUGUCCUGCUCAACUGCAGAAAAGAGGACUGGCUCAGAGAUGGGAGAUUUUAGUGAGUGAAAAAGCAUCCUGGAGAGAUGAAGGACCGGUGGGUUUUGGGGAGUUCAUUGUUUUAAUGGCAGCAGCGUUACAGGAUUGCAUGUGCUCAGUCUGCCCUGCAUUGAGCUGCUCUAUUGAUCAUCGCUUUGAUUCCUGCUGGUUUAUUUACUUGCUUGAUAAUAAUUUGCUUAAUAAAGCCUUGCUAGAGUGAUUACAGAGUCCCAAAACCUUUUGAUUUCCAAUUUCAUUCCCAGCUCCAAAGUCACUGGAAUUUCUAUGUUCCCUUGGAGGGAUGGCCUGGGGUUCACUUUGCAUGAAUCAGGGUUACAUGAGCUGACCCAUGGCUGAUUCAUCGACAGGUGUUGUCAGCAAAGGCCUCUCUCUUUCUGUGCAGCUUCCCUUUGUGUCAAAGCAUACCACGCUGAAAUGAAAGUGGGAUCUUCAUCAAAGAGCACAGCCUGUCUUUGGGUGUGAUUUCUUCGUGGGAACAAACGCUGCCUGAUACAUGUAGACAUGUACCGGGAGUUAUCAAAGCUCCCAGAAUCGUUGCUCUUAGUACUAGCAGUGUGUAUGCCAUUCUUCCUGCAGCAAAGGGAAGCUCAAAGGAAGGCAGCAGGUUUGCUGCUUGUCCCAGUGCAGCACAGUGCAGCACUGUGCAGGUCCUGAAUGACACAGAAUUCCUACAAACCUGGUGCUCUCCUCCCCACGGUCCAGGCUGAGAGCUGACGUUCACAUUCCGUGCUGCUCAUGGGCUCUGUUUCAUGGAUGGCCUGCUGUUUGCAGGUUCUCUUUGAGGAAGUGUGCACAUCAGAGAGAUGGGAUGGUGCUGUCGCUGUUACCUGCCUCACCCCAGAGCUUCAGGUUCUCCAGAUGGAAGGAGGAACUUUCCAGUCUAAAGACAUCUGUCAUAGCUGUCUCCACAUGCUUCAUAUCCUUCUGCAGGCAUUAAGAGCUGCAGGAUUGCUUUGAGCACGGCAGAAGCACUGGGAUGCUGUCCCACUCCCAACCUCCUUCCUGACCCAGAGAACAGGGCUGGCUUCUCUGGCUCUGCCUGAAGCCAUUCCCCCAGAAAUAUUUUGUUUUGUGCCUGGAGUGUUUCAUUUCCUUUUAUUUGUUAAUUUUCUGUUAAAGGAGAGAUUGGACUCUUUCAAACAAGACUGGAAUACAACCUCUGCGCAUUAUGGAGAGUUGUCACAGGGCUCACAAAGGGAGAGAGAGGAAAUAUCUGCAGCAGUGCAGCUUGACAGGAACAGGAAGAUCGAGCAUGAAGACAAAGCUACUGGGGGAGAGGGCUGCAGAGAUCUCAGUGAUGUGCUGCCUAGUGAGGGCCAUAAGGUGAGGAUCACCCUGCACAGGUCGUGCUGGGCUCAGCCAGCCUGAGAGGACAGCAGUGAUGUCCCCACAUUGCUAUGAAGAGGCACAAGCCCUCAGGACCACAGAUGAGAUGUCUUCUGGAGGUUUGCAUGCAUCUCCAGGCUCCAGUCACCUUGACGAGCUUCGCCUGGACAUGUUCCCUCUCACCCCACAUCUCCAGUCCCUGUGCUGCAUUUAAGCUCAGGCUCCAAGCACUAUUCCCCUGGCUGGACCGUGCCUGCUCAUGGCUUUCUGUUUGUCCUUGGAUUUGCUUCAUCACUUUGACUGCUUCUCCUUGUUCUGGUCCUGCCCUUUGUCGCUAGCGAUGCUGCUGCCCACCUUGCUUCCUGGCUUCCUUGCAGUUGCUUCUCAAUGCUGUGUCCCCAGGUAGGUCAGGCUAUUUCACUUUCCUUGCCUCUGAGUGUGAAGGAGUUGGUUGCUCGUCCCCAUUCAUCCUACCAGUGUGUGCCAGGCUGCUGUGGGAUUAGGAGCUGAUUUUCAAUGCUCAGAGUGAAAUGCUGCUUCCUGCUGCUGGCAGAGCUUUGAAGUGCUGUAGACUGCCUGUGACAUACUCAGCAGCGUGGCUUCAGGUGGGGACGUGGGGCCGGGAUGUGUCAUGGGAAAAGAUCUGAGGAGGCACAGAAAUAGAAAUAAGGAUAAAGAAGAGAGGUAAGGAGAACUGGAGGCAGCUGAUGGAGAACUGCACUAAGGUGAGGAGAAGCCAGCACAGCAGCUGCUCAGUGCACCUGGUAACAAAGCAUGUUUAAUGAGGUGCUGCUAACCUAGGGUUGGCUUCUUUAAGUAAAUGUUGCAAUGAUCUGUGGGAAACUGCUCUGUUAGGCAUCCAGAUUUGGUGCUGGUGCUUUUAGUUGGGAUGCUGAGGUGUUUUUUGGUGAAAGAUGCUGUGGUUCGCAUGGGUGCAUCCAGGGGCAGAGCGAUGCUUUUACCCAGCCCUGAGAGUUCUGAGGCCUUGCAGUGAGCUCAGGGCAACGUUCUGCUCUGCACACCCACGCAGCUCUCUUCUGUUUCACCCAUGGCUUUGAGAACUGCUAGAGCAGCCUUAAUAAAGAUGGUGAAAGAGAGAAGGUGUAAAAAAACAGUUUAAACAAUUUCUGCAUAGCUUGCUCUAUUUUUAGUCCCAAUUUGAGGAAUGAAUGUAGGUCAAAAAUGGGGGAGUUUGCAUUUUUCUUGUUGUGUAGCAAACAUCAAGGGAAUUCUGGAGAAGUGGAACAGCCCUGGAAAGGACGAUAGGUCUACCAAGCACAGAGCUUCUGCCUGAGGAGUGGGGUCGUUGGGGGGUGGGCAGGGAGGAGUGAGAUACCAGGGGGAUCUCUCAGGUGGGGGAUACCCUUUAACAUACAGACUGUGUGCUCCUGGGUCUUCCAUGCAGGUGCAGAGCUGGGGUCAAGCUGGUACCUCUCCUGGGUGUGAAGGCAGCCUGGGAGGUGGCUCUUCAAUGGUUAAGGAAGAGCAACAGCCUUCCCAGUAUGCAAGAGUGUUAUAUUCCUUAUUAUAGCAGUUAGAGAAGUUAUAAUUUAACUUGCACUUAACAACAAUGAAAAAAAAAAAGCCCCCUAGAAUGGAACUAGACUUGAUCCUUUUUUCAGCAUAUUAUUACUUGGAGCAUACGGCUGCUUGCUACAGAGUGAUAGAAAUCCCCAGCAGAGUUAAGUAAGUGCUAAGUGGUAUGCCUGGGGCAGGAAGCACCGAAGUCUCUUCUCAAUGUUGGAGGUGGGCUUGGGUUCCCAGCAGGGCUCCGGCUGGUGUGGUCCUUCCCAUCUGCAGGGCAGUGGAAGAGAUCCUCAGUGUGCACCAAGCUGGUGAGAUGUCUGCUGAAUGCAUGGGGAAAUUCCCACCUGGUGGAUACAGAACUAGAAGCUGGUGUUUGGUUCCUUUGCCACAGAUUUCUGCUCCCCAGGGAAGUGUUUGAAGGCUGGGUUUGUGCUGAGAAAAGGAGUACAGAGUGGGAAGAUGAGUUACUCUGCAAUGGGCCUGGAGCUUGACCUAGCCCCAGUGCAGCCUCAGCUGGGUUUAGAAGUUUUACAUCAGGUUUUCUGGAUGUUGGGGUCCUCUGGAGAGAAGGAGCAGCACUGGUACUGUGGUGAAGGAGAGCAGUUGUACGGAGGGCAUCUGUGCUUUGAUCAAGAGGAGCUGAGGAUGAGGAUCCUCCUCUGCAGCACCAUAAAGGCGUUCCCCUUGGAGGCAGGCUCAGGUUGGAUGGUCUCUUUGUUCUCGCUGCAUGAAACUGAGCCUGGAUGGCUCAGUGUGCUCUGAGCUAUGCCCCCAGCAGCCCCCAUCCCACCUCACCCCACCCUGCGAAGAACCAUCUGACAAAACAACUUGUGCUCGUUGCCUUCAAGACGCGCUGCUCAUUCUUCUGUCUUUUCAGGCGUAUGCAAAUGUAAUUAAUAAGUUCUAAAUGAAUCCUCAGCACGCAGGGGAGCAAAAAGACAGCACCUUCCCCCCCAUCUCCCCAGGUCCUUGCUCCACUUAAUGAUGGUGCAGACUAAUAGGGCUGUGAGGAAGCGUUUAGAGUCCUGCCGUGCCAUUAGGAGGGCGUGCAGCAGCUCUCCAUGUGCUGGGAUAAUUGCGGUGCUGGCAGCUCUCGGCCAUCACAGCAGGAGCAGUACCUGCAAGGAUCCCCUCGGCUUGCUUGGGCUUCAGAAAAUGUCACUGCUGUGCCACUGUGGAGCUGAGUGUCCCUCCAGCCUUUUCCCUGCUGAGAUUUCUCGGUGGUGGCUGGUGAGGGGUUGUCAAAGGUCCCAGCUGGAAUUGUGUGCCAGGAAGCCAAAGAAUGGGAUUGUAUUUUUCUUAAAAAGAAAACCAUUUGAUGGCCACCUCUCCUAGCAGGUGUGCUGUGUGCUGCUCCCAGGUUCUGCUGCAUUUUGGCUCCCUGCUCCUGACACUGCUGUGCCUGGUGCCUCUGGGAUGGGAAGUGGACAUAUUAAGUUUGGUGGGAGGCUUUAAGAGCAGCAGGAUUAAGUGUUGCUGCUUAGUCUUGUUUGCCUGUGACCACUUAACAACAUUUAUGCACUGGGAGGAAACAAGUUGAGUUCCCUGCGUGUGCAAAUCACGUUUCAUUAUGCACUGACCUUCUUCAGUGGCUUUUAGGAGCCUCAAAGCAUCUGGUGAGGGGAGAUGUGUGGCUGUGAUGGUGCAGAGUGGCACUGCAGGGGCCACCCCAGCCUGCUCCCAUGGAGCUGGGUGAAACCACGCUCUGAGCAUGCAGCAGCCCAGUGCUGUGUUGCACAGAGAGCUGCUUGCACAGCCCAAACAAGAGUGAGGUGUUUCCUCACUAACGCUUCCUGUAAGAAUGCUUGCUCUUGAACCACCCAACACGUUGCUUCUCGUUGAAGGAGCAAACAUACCUGUCAGUGUCUGUGCACAGUGUUGUCUCAGACACUUCCCCUCUUCCUUUGAAUACUCACUCUUGCUCUCACCAAAUGCAUUGCUUCCUAUUGAAGAGGCAAAUACAGAUGGCACUGCUCACAUGUAGUGUGGUCUCAGUGCAUCCUUCCAGCAUUUUGUACAGAUACUCCAACAACACUGAGGUCUGUGCUCAUGGGUGCUCUGUGCAGGUGUCCCACUCUCUGGCCACCAACGGCUAACCAAGUGCUCGGUGCUGCUAAUGGCACAUGCCUGCUGAUAGCAGAAAGCAAUGGCUUGAUUUUUCUUUUAGACUCAGCUAGAGCAAGACUAAUGGAAAAAUCAAUGUGUGUACUGUAAAUUCUGUGUAGUUAAUACAUACAAUAUUUUAAAAGUACCAAAUAAUAGAAAAGCAAGUAGGGUAAAAAGACAGUAAUUGAUGGAUUGCCUUUGAGUUUUGUAGAGAGAAUAAUUGUGUGUGUAACUCUAAGAUGAGGCACUUAGCAAGCUGACAUCCUGUUCUGCAACUCUCCCAACCAUUUAGUCAUGAAAAUCACUGUUUUCAAUGUACCUGGAAAGCUGUACCAGAGAAUAGAGCAGCACAUUCAUUAGAGUCUUGAAGGUGUGUUGUACCUGAGUUGUGGCUGAAGAAGCUGCAGAUGUGACUUAUAAAAUGCCAACCUGGUGUUUUGUGGUGU